AAAACUCCAUCCAGAGCAAUUUUCAGCCAUGCAUCCUCUCAGUAGCACAAUAGCUGGAAAAUGUAACUUUCUUAAUAACUGUACAUCAAUACCACAAAUACACAUUUAGUGUGACAGAUUCGAAACAUAUUACACAUUCCCCUCUUCGGUUCAUCUUCAAAUUAUGAGAUCAGAAGAAACUAAGAUUGCUAAUUAUGAUGUACCAAUCAUGACACGUUUAUUGUUGAAAACUAUAUACAUGGAUGACCAUGCGGCCAGAGCUAGCCCUCAGUAAAAAUAAUCCAGUUCUCUUUUGUUGAAAACUAUAUAGAUAGAUGAUCAUGUGACCAGAGCUAGCUCUCAACAACAAUAUCCUGUUCUCUUUUGUCCGUCGCUUUCUUAUAGCAAAGCUGAAUUGCUCGUUCCUAUAUCUAUGCCAUUACAAAUGAGAAGACUCCAUGUUACCUGGUGUUUAUCAAGUCAAAAAAGAAUGGCAUUUAGCACGGAAGGAUGAAAAUUCUGGGCAUCAAUCUUGUGUACAGAUGAAUUAUGAAGCAAAAGAUACAGACUGCAGAGUGAGAAAUGACCAACGUAAAACAAUAUAAUUUGUGUACUGUAAGAAUUUAACACUGAAGAACCAAUAUACUCCCUCCAUAAAGAAAUAUAAGAGCAUUUAGAUAACUAAAGUAGUAAUCUAAACACUGUUAUAUUUCUUUACAGAGGGAGUACUUAUGGUAAUAAUUCAUAUCCAAAGAAGUAAUCGAUGAAGGGGCAUCCGACGCGAAUUUAAGCAGACAUUUGAAUAAAACAUGUCAAAGAAUUAUCCAACCAAUUACUGCAAUGGGCUUACUGUCAGUAUACACCUUGCAAAGGCUAAUUAAUUAUGAGAGACUUUAACGUCUCAAAAAGCUUAAUGCCUAGAAAUUUGCCAUCCCUAGAAAGAAAAUAAUCACAGCUUGUACUUAGUAACACGCAUAAAAAAUACAGUCCAGUCGAUUUCGUUUUGACAGAACUACUGGUGGGCAUGCCAUUCAGCUGCCGUAUCACUAAAAGGUAGCAGCCAAUGGGACCUGUAGAAACCUAUACAUGUAGAAUAAAAUAGCAUCCAAAAUUGUAUCAUAAAAGGGAACUGAUACUCAGGCCAAGAUAAAGCUUACAUCAUGGCCACACACACACGCUCAGUCACAAUCAACGUAGUCGGCCUGUGAGAGGAGCGUGUGUAUACAUAUUGGACACUACCUGGAUAUAUAUAGAUUAUUGCGAUGGAAGUCUCGGGCGUAAUGUGGAGAUGGAUGGUUCAAGCAGAGCGAUAACAUGUAUACAUGUCAAUUAUACACAUAGAAAAUAAUACAGUGGUUACUUAUCGGAAAUGGUAACCCACAACAUUUUACUCAUGCUGGAGGGCAUAAAUCAUUGCAUACUUAUCAAUUUCAGUUACUGUUUCAACUGGAAACAUGCAAGCGGAAUUCAGAGAAUAGAUAAUAUCGCCAUCAUUCAAAUGCGUGAUUAAAAAAAGUGGUAUGAAAUUGAAAGAUUUCUGUUAACUUAGAAAAUCAGAAUAUUAUUGUCAGAGUGCAACAUUAUUUUAGUUUACUAAAAAACCAAAAAAUGCUUGAUCAUUCAGAACUUCUUUGGAAGUCAAGUUAAAGUCAAGGUGGAUUAAUCUUCUUAGGAGAAAUGACCAAGUAUAUGUGCUAUAUUUAAUCUUCAGUUUAGGUUCUAGAUUAACUGAUUAAGCCGUCUAUGCAAGUGAACAUACAAAAGACUGCAGAAAUUCAAAUUGGAUAAUCUAGUUAUCCAAGCAUAGCAUGAAAUCAAUCGAAGAAUCAGUCCAAAAACAAAUAUAAGAGCAUGUGCACUGCAGAGGGAAACAAUGUAUCGAUACAUUGAUUUCCGAAAAACAAAUGAUGUAAUUAUGUGGCAAUAGGAAGAUGGAUUCCGGGAGGUAGAAAGCUAUGGAGAAGCGAACCAACACUAUACGUACAGAAGCCAAAAUUCAAGUCAAACCUGCAGUAGCAGGAACAGUUACAAUGUGAUCAAUGACGCGAAUUGGAGGUAGUUAAAAUCAUAUAAGGACUAUAUAUACUAUUUGCAACCUACUUAAAAAUAGUAUGGUAGUGAUUAAGUUUUCUCACAUAUUGUUUUUACAGUUCCUAGUCUAGAUUACUAUUUGGAAAAGUAGAUAUAUUGUCACGCAUGUACACUAAACAUUCUGCUGCGCACAAUGCAACACAUAAAUCUGUUAGUUUCGUAAAAACAUAUUUAGCUAACAAUAUUCGGAUCAUUAUCAACGUAUAUACCUCCCCGCUCUAAAUAUGCAAAUCACUAAUAGGGCACACUGAUACAUAUUUUGUAUAAGUUAGCAUCUCUAAAAUCUAGACACUGGAACUCCAAAAAAAAUAUCAUAUUAUCAGGAACGACCUAGGAAAUAUGGAUUCCAUCGUUACAUUUGCAGGGAAAUUUCAUAUGGGUGUUUAAUAAUAAAAAAACAUAGAUUUGGAUCCCUUUUCAAACACGGUACAUGUAUGUGCUGUAAAUAGAACCUAUAUAACUCAUGUACGCCAUACAUCUAGCUUAAUUUUUGCAUGGGCAACAAUUUGAAAAUCUUACUGUAGAUCUGCCAAAGAUAGAUAUAUAUGCCACUACCAUGCGAUAAUCUAACAAUUAGCGUUUACUUGGAAGAAAUAACAUACAACAUCGAAAUUCAUUCCACAGGAAUUGUCAACUGUUUUUGUUGUCUAACAAAUGGUCGCACGGGAAGACAUGUGUAAAGCUUCCUGUGUAAACAGUUAAUGUAAAUUGGCUGGUUGGCAGUGGCAGUUGAUGUGGAUGUAGCUUAACAGAAACUUGCUGCAUGGUGCCACUUUAGGCGAGAUCACAUUCUAGCUGGUUCUCACCCACUCGCCCAAAUGUAUAAUCUGACGCAGAGAAGUGAUGAAGAUAGAUAUAGAAAAAGGCCUUUUGUUGUUGAUGAGAUGUGAUGGAUUAAGCCGACUUAUUAGGGGUUCAGUGAUGAAUUAAACGGAUGAAGGAGCAGGGAUUUAACAAUGCAAGGCGAUUUACCAGUGGAGUGGGGCAUGAAUAACGGGAGACUGCCUCGAGUAGGGCUUCGAUUGUAACUUGCGGUGCCACCAGACCAAUGUAAUUGCUCAACUUGACGGUCUCAAGUACCAAUCGAGGCCUCCUUUCUUGAAACCAUCAUGCAUACUACACCUCCUCAUAUGAUGCAUCAACCAUCUAUAUUUAAAAACUUGAAAUAAGAAGAGUUCUAAUGGUUGGGUGAGGAGAAAUUGGAUUGCAUCACUGAUCAUAACAUUGCAAUGAAAUACAAAAAAGAGGUCUGUAUACAUGGUACUCCAAGAAUAACAAUGCGAGUUUGAUACAUAUACAUAGUGAGAAAAAAUACUAAUGUUACAACAAAAAUCAAAAGCCUUUAUAGAGCCCUAAAACACAAAUUAGUAAUUCCCACAAAAAAACACGAAUUAUUAAUGCUAUUGUGAUGCAACCUUUUUCAGAUCAAAAGAACAUGCAGAUCCGACAUCUUUUUCUAGAUCAAAGGGGCACACCAAUCUAAUGGAAAAUAGAAACACACAUGGCUUACCUGAGAUCAUCACUACGGCCCUGGAUGUGAAAAGUUGAAAUAAGAGGAGAUUUAAAGAUUUCAUAGGGGCGGGAUUGAGAAGAGAUUGGGUUGCAGGAUGGAUGGCCGGUGACCUGCAACAGAGAACAAAGAGGGAAACGGAGACGGCUGGGCGCGCGGCGACGGAGUACCUUGGGGCGCGACGGAGGCUGAAGCUUCUGCUCACCGGCCAUGAAUGGGAGCGCCGUCUAGGGCAUGGAGAGCAGCGGAGGAGAAGACGGGUCGCCGGCCAUGAAUGGGAGCGCUGCCUAGGGGCAUGGAGAGCAGCGGAAGAGGAACAAUGGAGGAGGAGAAGACGGGCCAAUGGAGCAGGUGAUUUUGUAUUCUGUAUUAUUAAAUUAAAAGAGAGGAGGC
rnacentral:lncRNA from 1 species